GCUGGGCAUGGUGGCUCAUGCCUGUAAUCCCAGCUACUCGGGAGGCUGAGGCAGGAGAAUUGCUUGAACCUGGGAGGCGGAGGUUGCAGUGAGCUGAGAUCACGCCACUGCACUCCAACCUGGGUGACAGAGCAAGACUCUGUCUUGG
rnacentral:sRNA from 1 species